CCGGACCCUUCGGGGAAUGGAAAGUGGUGGAGCCGGUGGCCCGAGCUGGUAGUAGGUGAGUGAUGGGGUGACGCAGGAAGGUAGUCCAUCCCGGGCGGUGGUUGUCCCGGGGUAAGGGUGUAGGACGUCAGGUAGGUAAAUCCGCCUGGCAAUAGUCUGAGACCUGAUGCCGAGCCGAUUGUGGUGAAGUGGAUGAUCCUAUGCUGUCGAGAAAAGCCUCUAGCGAGUUUCAUGGCGGCCCGUACCCUAAACCGACUCAGGUGGUCAGGUAGAGAAUACCGAGGCGUUCGGGUGAACUAUGGUUAAGGAACUCGGCAAAAUGCCCCCGUAACUUCGGGAGAAGGGGGGCCAUGUCUGGUGAUCCGAUUUACUCGGUGAGCUGGGUGUGGCCGCAGAGACCAGCGAGAAGCGACUGUUUACUAAAAACACAGGUCCGUGCGAAGCCGUAAGGCGAUGUAUACGGACUGACGCCUGCCCGGUGCUGGAACGUUAAGGGGACCGGUUAGUCACAUUUCGGUGUGGCGAAGCUGAGAACUUAAGCGCCAGUAAACGGCGGUGGUAACUAUAACCAUCCUAAGGUAGCGAAAUUCCUUGUCGGGUAAGUUCCGACCUGCACGAAUGGCGUAACGACUUCUCGACUGUCUCAACCAUAGGCCCGGUGAAAUUGCAUUACGAGUAAAGAUGCUCGUUUCGCGCAGCAGGACGGAAAGACCCCGGGACCUUUACUACAGUUUGAUAUUGGUGUUCGGUUCGGCUUGUGUAGGAUAGGUGGGAGACUGUGAAGCAUGCACGCCAGUGUGUGUGGAGUCGUCGUUGAAAUACCACUCUGGUCGUGCUGGAUGUCUAACCUGGGUCCGUGAUCCGGAUCAGGGACAGUGUCUGAUGGGUAGUUUAACUGGGGCGGUUGCCUCCUAAAGAGUAACGGAGGCGCCCAAAGGUUCCCUCAGCCUGGUUGGUAAUCAGGUGUUGAGUGUAAGUGCACAAGGGAGCUUGACUGUGAGACCGACGGGUCGAGCAGGGACGAAAGUCGGGACUAGUGAUCCGGCGGUGGCUUGUGGAAGCGCCGUCGCUCAACGGAUAAAAGGUACCCCGGGGAUAACAGG
rnacentral:rRNA from 1 species